rnacentral:lncRNA from 1 species
GAAUGUUUGUGGUUUUUAUCAUCAAACCACAAAAAGCAGGAUGAAGACACGGAGGCCUCACGGUGAUGGUGAGCACGCCGUGUUAAUUAUGGAGGCUCAGCAGAGCCCAGCAGGCUCAGAUGGAACUGGCAAUGUAUUGUUAUUUUCCAGAAGACCAGCCAAGUGCUACGGGACGCCCAUCAUCUCCCCUCCACCUGUUUCCCUCUGCCUCAAUUACUCAUCAAGACUUUGGCAAUUUCACUCUGGAUUUAUGGGAAUUGGAGAGGAGGCUGAUAGACGGUGACCUCUGUGCUUUUCCUGUGGCUGCCGUUCUCCUAAGUUCUCAUUCUGAAGUGCGUGAUUGCUGGUCUCUGCCUAGCGUGCAAAAUCUAACCCUUGUGACGUGGCUGCUCUCAGAAAAAUAUUGUGCUGAGAAGAAGCCAGGAAUCCUUAAUGCCGAUAUAUGACUUUUGUAAGUCACGGCAUGUUCCGAAAUACUGCAAGAAUAUGUUCUGCUAUCUGCAACUUGCAAUAGACCUAGUAUCAGCUCUAGGUCAGUCUUUGCCCACCCGUUACAUGGCAACACCCAUGGACACUGUCCUGGGAAAACUUGGGUUUGAACCUGGAGUUCCCUCCUCUAUUUGCUGAGUAAGCUUAGAAAUGCUCACUUUCCUGAGCAUCAUUUUUUCUAAGAGAGUUAGGGUUUAUAUAAUAACCCAUAUCAGCCAGAGUACUGGACGGAAAGAGAAGGGGUCUUGAGUAGCGUGAAGAGAGUUUAAUGAAGUGGUCACCUGAGGGCUGCGGACAGGCUAUAGAAAAAGCAGCAAGACAGAGGGGAAGGACCCCGAUCAGCACCUCCAGAAAGUACCCGAGAGCCAGCAAGGACUGGGCAGAGGAGACAGCGGCUCAGCGGAGCUGAAAAAGGACAGAGAGAAUAUGUGCAGGGUUUACAGAAACAUGCGGGGUGCACGAUUAUCAGUUUUAAAAAAAAUGAAAGCAUUCACAGAAUGCGUUUUGUGAAGAUGUCAAUGUAUAGACCAGAGACCCUGCACCUACUAGAAGGAAAAUAGGCCCAACUCCCCAACAGGUCGGCUUAGGAAGCAACAUCCUCGGCAUGACUGUUGAGGGCCACAGCGGAGUCGGGAUGACGCAUGGCAUUUUUGCCAGAAGUAGUGGUUGAGAGGUGACGCCAGCGAGCCAUUAAGAUGAUGACUUUUGAGUUCUCGCGGAGUUCCCAUUGAGCUCUCGCAGGGAUUCCUGAAGAGUUCGCGUUGGUUGGUGAAGUUCCAGUGGUGGGAGUUCCGGUUGGUGUGUGGUAUGUUCCUGAAGGAGCCGCGUGGGUGGCGUUCUGGAGAGUUCCCAGGGAGUGUGCGUGGAAUGCUGUGGGAGUUCGGAAAUAAAAUUUGUUCCUGCUUGAGUGGCUCGUGAUUUGUGCCCAGCCAGACUGCGGCACAAGAGUCCUAAAGCACAAGAAGUAAAAUCAAGAAUCAACAAGUGGGAUGGUAUCAGUCUACAAAGCUUCUUCACAGCCAAGGAAAUAGCCAAGAAUGUGAAGAGAGCACCUGCAGAAUGGAGAAGAUCUUUGCCACCUGCCCCUCAGACAGAGCAUUAAUCUCCAGGAUAUAAAAGAACUUCAAACCUUAACACCAAAAACACAAGUAACCCAAUCAAUAAAUGGGCAAAGGAACCGAACAGACACUUCAAAGAAGAAGAAAUGCACACAGUCAACAAAUAUAUUAAUAAAUGUUCAACAUCUCUAGCAAAAACCCUGAGAAUAUUUAAGACAGAGAGACAGAGAGAGAAAUUGUGUCUGCACUGACCACAUCCGUCUUUUCCUUGUGGUCAUUGGCCUCAUGAUGCAGUGUGAUACUGGAAUAUCGUUCUUGCUGUGUUAGGGAAGAAGGCGUGGAGAGACAAUGAGACACACCCAGAAGUAGGCCGUGGGCAGCUCUCUGCUGUUUUCUACAGGGAAAUCGAGUGUCCCCAGAUUGUGGUCUGCAGAGUUAGAACCAGUCCCUCAGGGGUGCAGAGGGGAUCACCGCACAAAUGCAAGGGCACUGUCACCACCAGUUCUCUGCCAGGGCUGGGUGGGCCUGAGUGUGUCCCCAAGGGGUCACACGUUCAGAGUUAAUCUCCACUGAUGUACUGAGGCGAUGGCACUUGGUGUGACUACAGUUCUUAGAAGUGAUUAGGUUUAGAUGAAGUCAACAGAGUGGAGCCACCAUGAUUGAACCUGGAGGCUUUAGAAGAUAAAGAGCAACUACAGGACACACGUACACACAUACCUCACUGUCUCAUGCCAUGUAAUAUCCUUGGGACUCCGCCAGUAAGAAGACAGUCACUAGAUGCAGCCCCUCAACCUCAGAGCAGAAUGUAAACCAAAGGAACCCUCUUUAUUUUGUAAAGUCAGUCUACUUCAGGUAUUUCAAUAUAGCAACAGAAAAUGGAUUAAUAUGCACAGGGUGUAUUUGAACAUUGGAGAACCAAACCCUGCUUGUGCAUUACUACUUGUGUAUCAUUGGAGCACAUUUGGGCUUCUCAGGUGGUAGCUUUACACCGAUGCAGAACACACCUGGCUGGUUCUCCACAUUCUGACAUAUUACAGGUGCCACUCAGCGUAGCUUUCAAUCUUUUCUACUCACCUCUGCUUUCUUCAAACAUCACUGAAAUCAGUGUAUUAUGUUUUCUAAGACAGUGGUCAUUUCACUCUAGAUUAACCAUGUUCUUUGAAGUAAUUUUAGCUAUUAAUUAUUUUUUAUUUACAUUCCUGCAUCAGUUUUUAACUUCAACUUGGGAUUUGAAAGAUAUAUAAAUAAAUAAUAUAGAGCAAGAUGUGAUUAUUUUCUUCAAAAAUUUUCCUUCAAAUGUGUGAAAGUUUUCUGACAUCAGCUUCUCUUUUUGCUUUUUUUUCCUCCGGAAAAUAUGAAGCACCCUUACCUAUGAUUUUUAAAAAAAAAUUGUGUAAUUGUAGAUGGACCAAAUGCCUUUAUUUAUUUUUACGUGGUCCUAAGGAUCAAACCCAGUGCCUCACACAUGCUAGGCAAGCUCUCUACCACUGAGCCAUAACCCCAACCCUUUACCUACAAUUUCUAAGAUUGCCUCAGGGUAAAGAAUAGACCAUUAAAAUAUAAUGUGUUCGGGGUGGGGUUGUGUCUUAUUCUUAAAAAUCAAAAAGUGUAGAUUUAAAGUGUUUUCCCCACAGAAAAGUACUAAGUGUG